CUUGUGUAAGCCCUCUGUACAAUCAUACAUUUUCAAUCAACUUUGCUGGAUUGUCCUUUUUUCUCCACAAAGACCUUGAGCAUGCAAAAACAUUCAUCAUGGACGAAUGACUCCCAAGCAGACUCAAGGCAUGCCACCCCUACAACAUGGCAGCACAAGAGAUGCUCAAUUCCAUCCCUGAAGACAUCUCCAGAGAUGCCUGGCUGGCAGCAGCUUGGAAGCAGGAGUGGGAGGCAGCUGGCCCCUCCCUCAUGCACUGUUAUGUCUGGGAACCAGGAGACGGCGCCAUAGGAGGAGACGAACUACCUCGCCAGCAGUGGACCACACUGAACCGCUUAAGAACUGGUGUUGGGCGCUUCAACAUGUCUAGUGGGGUCUGGCGGACAGUGCGGCAUGCGAGUGCGGAGCCCUCGAGCAGACAGCCGACCACACCAUCAACACCUACACCAACAUAUAGACCACCCUCAGAGGCCGGCCUCUUCGACCUGGGACCAGAGAUGCUGGCGUGGCUCCACGACACCAAGUUGGAGCGCUGACGUUAUACGAGAGAGAGAGAGAGAGAGAGAGAGAGAGAGAGAGAGAGAGAGAGAGAGAGAGAGAGAGACUCCCAAACCAGGGUGGCAAGAAGCAGGACUUCUCAUUCCUCUUUUUCUAUGUUGCGUGUGGCUCCACAUGCUCCAUUUGUCUAGACCAUUUGUUUGGCCACCUUGGUACUCAGCCUUGAUGAGACCUGGCCUGUCUCGCCAAAAAAAUGACCGACAUUUUAAGAAGAUCCAUGGGACCAGUGUUAUUCUCCUUUUCUAUUGACUCCAAGCAACAGCACAGGGAGAGCCAAGACUUUCCAAAAGACCUGUACAACGGAGGCCAGCAUCAUGAAACACAAACUCCCAAACCAGCAUGGUAACAUGAAACACAAACUCCCAAACCAGCAUGGUAACACACAGGACUUCUUCUGAUUCUUCUUAUGUUCUUGGGUCUUGCCUGUGGUUCUACACGCAUCCAGAAAUGCAGACAAAGAACAGCUUGGCCUUUAACAGUCGGAAGCCUCUGAUUUUACUCUACUAAGCCUCAGAUACAGUCUGUUUUCUGUUCUCAUUCAUUCAUUCAUUCAUUCAUUCAUUCAUUCAUUCAUUCAUUCAUUCAUUUAUUUAUUUAUUUAUUUAUUUAUUUAUUUAUUUAUUUAUUUAUUUAUUUAUUUAUUUAUUUAUUUAUUUAUUUAUUUAUUUAUUUAUUUAUUUAUUAUAUUUUUUGCCUCAAAUUAUGUUUGCAUUAGCUUUUGUAUAACAGCGUCUUCAAUCAUGUUGCACUUAAACUCUUAAAAAAUAACACUGAAAUUAACAUAACAUCCAUCCAUCCAUUCAUUCUCUGAACCGCUUAGUCCCCACGCGGGCCGCAGGUGUGCUGGAUCCUAUCCCAGCCGUCAUCGGGCAGUAGGUGGGGGACGCCCUGAACCGGUUGCCAGCCAAUCGCAGGGUACACAGCGAUUAUUAUCUAUUGAAUCAGUAAAAUACUUGAUAUGUUUUUAUUUGUUAUGUCUUCAGCGUUUUUGAAAGUUAUUUAUAUUAUUUCUUGCAUUACUUCUUUGACUCAAUUAAAAAACCUGUAUUUUGUCCCAAAAGGCACUAUUUUUUCCCUUCUCUUGUGUGUGAUUUAUUAUAUUUUGUUUCCAAUGUUUAAACAGCUCAGUGACCUAGUGGUAGAGUGUCCGUCCUGAGACUGGAAGGUUGUGGGUUCAAACCCUGGCCGGGUCAUACCAAAGACUAUAAAAAUGGGACCCAUUGCCUCCCUGCUUGGCACUCAGCAUUAAGGGUUGGAAUUGGGGGGUUAGAUCACCAACUGAUUCCCGAGCGCGGCACCGCUGCUGCUCACUGCUCCCCUCUCCCCCAGGGGAUGGAUUAAAAUCACACGGGGAUGGGUUAAAUGCAGAGGACAAAUUUCACCACACCCAGAUGUGUGUGUGACCAUCAUUGGGACUUUAACUUU